rnacentral:rRNA from 1 species
GACGAACGCUGGCGGCGUGCUUAACACAUGCAAGUCGAACGGAAAGGCCCUGCUUUUGUGGGGUGCUCGAGUGGCGAACGGGUGAGUAACACGUGAGUAACCUGCACUUGACUUUGGGAUAACUUCAGGAAACUGGGGCUAAUAUCGGAUAGGAGAUCCUGCUGCAUGGUGGGGGUUGGAAAGUUUCGGCGGUGGGGGCUGGUCUCGAGGCUUAUCAGCUUGUUGGUGGGGUAGUGGCUUUCCAAGGCUGUGACGGGUAGCCGGCCUGGGAGGGUGACCGGCGUCAUGGGGCCUGCGGUACGGCCCAGACUCCUACGUGCGGCAGCAGGGGGGAAUAUUGCACAAUGGGCGGAAGCCUGAUGCAGCAACGCCGCGUGCGUGAUGACGGCCUUCGGGUUGUAAACCGCUUUCGCCUGUGACGAAGCGUGAGUGACGGUAAUGGGUAAAGAAGCACCGGCUAACUACGUG